CUCCCAAUGGAAGAAUAGGGAAUCCGGUGCAAUUCCGGAACAAUACCUGUUGCUGUAUAUUCCACUCCGUUUUGAUAGGAGUCAGAUGUUUGCCUUUUCAAAGUCACUGGCGUUCAGCUGGGAAGGCUUGGCAAAUGGAAUGAGUCAGAAGACCUGCCGCUUGCAUU
rnacentral:ncRNA from 1 species